AACAACUACAUCAUCUUAAAUUUAUUUAUUUAUACCUAUACAUUAUUUCUCAUGAAAUCUUGCCACGUGGCGGCCCCUCCUUUAUUCUUACCUUCUCCUCUCUUCUCUAUUCACAAUUGUUGCAACCGCACAAAACCUUUGAUCUUCCAAUCAAUGAAAUCUUAAACCCACACUCUUCAUCUCCCCACCAAGGAGUUAGUUCCAAUCAAUGAAAUCUUAAACUCACACUCUUCAUCUCCCCACCAAGGAGUUACUAAUGCAUUAUUAACUUUAAUAAUUAUGAUGAUCCACAUAAUUAGCACCACUAAAACCCCAUCAUCAUCAUCUCCUCAUUCUCCGAAACCAAAUACCACACUCCAACAUUUCUAUUAGAUAUUCUUAUGUUACAAACCAACUAUUCUUUCUAUUAUAUAUUCUUAUUAUUAUUCUCGAAGGCGAGUACGAAUCCGUCAACGCCAUUCGGGUCGAGCCAUGAUU
rnacentral:lncRNA from 1 species